rnacentral:rRNA from 1 species
GAUGAACGCUGGCGGCGUGCCUAAUACAUGCAAGUCGAGCGAACAGACGAGGAGCUUGCUCCUCUGACGUUAGCGGCGGACGGGUGAGUAACACGUGGAUAACCUACCUAUAAGACUGGGAUAACUUCGGGAAACCGGAGCUAAUACCGGAUAAUAUAUUGAACCACAUGGUCCAAUGGUGAAAGACGGUUUUGCUGUCACUUAUAGAUGGAUCCGCGCCGCAUUAGCUAGUUGGUAAGGUAACGGCUUACCAAGGCAACGAUGCGUAGCCGACCUGAGAGGGUGAUCGGCCACACUGGAGCUGAGACACGGUCCAGACUCCUACGGGAGGCAGCAGUAGGGAAUCUUCCGCAAUGGGCGAAAGCCUGACGGAGCAACGCCGCGUGAGUGAUGAAGGUCUUCGGAUCGUAAAACUCUGUUAUUAGGGAAGAACAAAUGUGUAAGUAACGAUGCACGUCUUGACGGUACCUAAUCAGAAAACCACGGCUAACUACGU